UCUUCAUUGGCUAUAAAUUGAGAGGACUAGCCUCAGUUUUUAAUCAAUCGAAAAUUUCUGCGCUCCAUCUAUAGUUGCUAACUUUGAGUUCGACGAAGUUAUUGGCAUUUGAGGUACCACUACACCAAUAAUAGGUAUAUCUGUUUUAUCCUGGGAGAAGGCUAACAACAUAUUCUUCUUCUUCUCUGAGGGAUUGUUGCUCAUCAACUCGCAAUGUUCUUUUAAUGACAAGAGACAUCGUACAUUGUCAAUCAGUCAAACUUGUGGGAGCUGGGAUUGUUUGGUGAUUGAAAUUUCAGUUCAUUGACGAACAAAAUUGAUUUAACAUAAUUAAGCAUAUCAUAUAUACAAACAUAUGCUCAUUAAGCAAA